ensembl:lncRNA
UGAAGGCGCUUCCCUUCCUUGACUUUUUGGGUCUGGCUCCCGCUUUGAUUUGAGCCAGAGGCACCACAGAUAAUUACAAAGCCGUGUAAGGCUGCUUAAACUCAAAAUAAUCUGAAUUGACUUCUUCUUCUGCCAAUCUUGCUUUUUCUUCUUUAAAGUUAACUGGGAAAAUAAUUUGUGAGCUACAGAGCCACUAAAGCAACACACCAGUUACUCUGUAUUCCUUCUCUUCGCUAGACUCAUAUAGCUAAGGACGUGGUGGGUAAGUCUUGUUGAUUCUGCCUUCAUCAUGUUUUCAUUUUUGUCUCUUCUCACUUAGUCCUAGGCUCUCUCAUUUCUUGCUUGGACUUUGGAAGUUACUUUCUUUAAGUCUGUCAUUCUUCAUACCCCCAAAUCACCCUACUGCCACUGCUACAAUGACCUUUGAAGAUGCUUGUCCAGUUAUUAUAUUUUGCUGCUUAGAGUCUUGUUUGCUCCAUUUUCUCUUAGUUUACCUUCUAUGUGCUGCGUUAUAAGCCUUUGAGGACCCAGACUUUACCUAUUUCCUUGGUCUCUGUUGCUGCUGUUCUCUGUUGGAACCCCUUGUUCUGUUGAUGUUCCUUCAAUAAGCCAUUCUACUUGGCCUAUGGGCCUUUGUCCACAUUGUUCUUGUAUCUUCAGUGCCUUUACCCAGGACUGUCUGUCUGCUCAGCUCAAGUAGUCCCUUCUCUAUAUCCUUCUUUACCCUGUUUCCCAUAGCAUUGGUUACAUUAGUUCUCCUACUUUAUAAGCCAUUUCUUAUGUUCCCUGCAACUAUGUAAUGUAAGCACAGGCAAAAAAACCCAUCUUAUUGAACUCGUAAAAAUUACAUGUAUAUUGGUGGAGGGUGGGGAAAUAGAUAGAGAAACAUUUUGUUUUAACUUAAAUGAUUUUGGUACAUUUAUAUCCUAGUAUUUUGGUUUAGGGCCAAAAGAGAAAGAGAGAGAGAGUGUGUGUAUGUGUGUCUCUCUGUGUGUGUGAUUUCUACUGAUUAGAGCUCCAGGUCAAGCUUACUCUGAGUUUCGGCUUGCAAUGUAACGGACAAAUAACUAUAUACUUACAGAACGUGAUAGAAACUGUAAGAAUAUUGUGAGAAAAGAAUUAUAAGAGCCAUGAGGAGAGCCACACUCCUGUAUUUGCUGACUGUUAUGCCGUUUUUAGUUUUUGACUCUUUCUUGGUAAUACUGUCUGCUAUUUGGAAAGUUUUUUUGAAAGUUCCACUUUAUUUUAUUUUUUCGGAAGCUGUCAGCAGUGGUGCUUCCAGAAUAAGAUAUUUUGUGCAUAUUGGCCCUUUUGUUUAAUUUGUUUUUAUCUUGCUGGCAAAGGAUCCAAAAGUAUUUUAUAGAGUAUGAGAUUAAAAUAAUGAGAGGAUGUUUGCAGGCUGAUAUAACCAAUCUUCAGAAUGCCAAGCAGUUGGUCUUUCAACUUUGCGGGGUCUAGAAAUCUGUCUUAUUUUCUCUAGACACCUGCUUUUCAUUGACCAGGAACCUUGAUCUUCAGAAUUUGUUCUGAAAAUGAUAGAUGGUGGGAAAAAUGUAUUUCUGGACAUUAAUGAAUUGCCCUAAUAGAUUUCCGUAAAUAGGUUUUGGAACUGAAUAUUGCGUUGAUUAUUCAGAUUUCUUUCGGAUUUUUCACUGGCAGAAGAGAAACUAAUCUGAUCAGUAAUAAUAAUAAAAAAAAGAAAACAAUGCAAUAUGGUAAAACUCUGACAUUUCAAAAGUUCAGUUAUCUUUGGCUAAAUUAUGAGGUAUGACUAUUUGAGCUUUACAUUUAUUAACAAAAGUGGUCUUUAGUUGGGGUGUUUUUAUGCUUUUUUGGUCAGGGUUUUUAAGAAGUUCUGCAUGGCUUUGUAUUCAUUCUUUUAUGAAAGUUUCACUAGCAUUAUCUAAGCUUAAUAUCCUGGGAUGUACUUUAUUGCCAGUGAUGAAAGGACAAAAGUCAGCAGAAAUUACUUACGUAUUUGUUAGCAUUUGAAACAUCUUAGCCUUUUAAUAAGAACUAUCACAGCCAGGCACAGUGGCUCAUGUCUGUAAUCCCAGCGCCUUGGGAAGCUGAGAUAGGAGGAUGGGGGAUGGCUCGAGGCCAGGAAUUCCAGGCUAGCUUGGGCAACAUAGCCAGACUCCAUCUCAAAAAAAAAUAAAAAAAAAAAUAAAAA